rnacentral:rRNA from 1 species
AUGGCGCCCAAGCGGAAGGGUGGCAACGGCCGGAAGAAGACCGUCCUCCUCUCGAUCGUCAAGGAGGACGCCCGCCAUGUAUGCUUCUCAAAGCGCAAGCGGGGCCUGUUCAGCAAGACCAGCGCGCUGUCCCUGCUCACGGGCGCCCAGGUGGCCGCCGUCAUCUUCUCGCCCGGCGGCAAGGUCUUCUCCUUCGGCCACCCCUCCGUCGACGCCGUCGUCAACCGCUUCAUGGCGGGGGACGCCGCGGUGGUCCAGGCCGCCGCCGACGACAACGGGUUGCAGACGCUGCAGCUGCAGCACGGCGACAUGCGCACCGAGCUGGCGGACCAGAAGAAGCGGAAGAAGCGCGCUGAGGAGGCCCUGGACAAGGAGCGCGCUGGGGGGGACCAGAUUGCCUCGUGGCUCCACCCCGACGUGCGCGACAUGGGGCAUGACGACAUGGCGGCCUUCGCCGCCGCGCUCUUGCAGGUCCAGGCCGCCGUCUCCGGACGCGCCAACCAGGUUCUCGUCGAGGCCUUUCGCGUCGACAUCAGCCGUAUGCUCCAGGUGCCCCCGCCGCCGCCGCCUCCGCUCCAGCUCUUCGGUGCCAGCACCAUUGAGUUCGGUAGUAGCAGCAGCAGCGCCAACGCCGGGAUGGAGAUGCAACAGAUGCAGAUGGUUAUGGAGAUGCCACCGCCGCCUGACUUCCCCGCAGUGAUGGGGAUGCAGCAGUUGGUUAUGGAGAUGCCACCACAGCCAAGGUUCGAGGCAGCGAUGGAGAUGACGCCGCUGCAGGAGUUCGUCGCCGGGAUGCAGAAGGUGCAGCGGCAGGGGCUCGGGCCGAACGCCGACUUCCCCUACUGA